rnacentral:tRNA from 1 species
GGGGCUAUAGCUCAGCUGGGAGAGCGCCUGCUUUGCACGCAGGAGGUCUGCGGUUCGAUCCUGCAUAGCCUGU